rnacentral:rRNA from 1 species
GAUGAACGCUGGCGGCGUGCCUAAUACAUGCAAGUCGAGCGAACAGACGAGGAGCUUGCUCCUCUGACGUUAGCGGCGGACGGGUGAGUAACACGUGGAUAACCUACCUAUAAGACUGGGAUAACUUCGGGAAACCGGAGCUAAUACCGGAUAAUAUAUUGAACCGCAUGGUUCAAUAGUGAAAGACGGUUUUGCUGUCACUUAUAGAUGGAUUCGCGCCGCAUUAGCUAGUUGGUAAGGUAACGGCUUACCAAGGCGACGAUGCGUAGCCGACCUGAGGGGGUGAUCGGCCACACUGGAACUGAGACACGGUCCAGACUCCUACGGGAGGCAGCAGUAGGGAAUCUUCCGCAAUGGGCGAAAGCCUGACGGAGCAACGCCGCGUGAGUGAUGAAGGUCUUCGGAUCGUAAAACUCUGUUAUUAGGGAAGAACAAAUGUGUAAGUAACUAUGCACGUCUUGACGGUACCUAAUCAGAAAGCCCCGGCUAACUACGUG